AUGCGUGCAUGCUCCAACCUGUCCCCUGUCGCAGCCCCACCACUCGAUGCCGAUGCACUCCAACCCGAGGACCACCAUGAUGGAGGUCACCUCACAGCAUAGCGACGAGUGUUUGUUGGUUUCUCUUUCAUUUACGGACAUCUUGGGCUUGCUGGGUGCAGAAUCAAGAAUCCCAAUCAUCAUCAGGGAUGAAAAAAGGAGAGAAGCACGGGAAGAGGUACUAGUAGAAGAGGAAGAAGUAAUGUGAAAAAUGAGAUAAAUGUGACAAUAGCAAGUAGAAAAGCAUGAGAGGGAUUCAGAUUUUGUUUUCACAUUCUUGCUGUACACGUACCUUUGGUCUGUAGAUGCACCGUAAUGGAUCUAGGAAGUAUGAAUGGUUAAUACCUCAAUGGUGCACUAUGCAUCUUUGGCAGGUUUUUAUGC